rnacentral:rRNA from 1 species
GAUGAACGCUGGCGGCGUGCCUAAUACAUGCAAGUCGAGCGAACGGACGAGAAGCUUGCUUCUCUGAUGUUGCGGCGGACGGGUGAGUAACACGUGGAUAACCUACCUAUAAGACUGGGAUAACUUCGGGAAACCGGAGCUAAUACCGGAUGAUAUUUUGAACCGCAUGGUUCAAAAGUGAAAGACGGUCUUGCUGUCACUUAUAGAUGGAUCCGCGCUGCAUUAGCUAGUUGGUAAGGUAACGGCUUACCAAGGCAACGAUGCAUAGCCGACCUGAGAGGGUGAUCGGCCACACUGGAACUGAGACACGGUCCAGACUCCUACGGGAGGCAGCAGUAGGGAAUCUUCCGCAAUGGGCGAAAGCCUGACGGAGCAACGCCGCGUGAGUGAUGAAGGUCUUCGGAUCGUAAAACUCUGUUAUUAGGGAAGAACAUAUGUGUAAGUAACUGUGCACAUCUUGACGGUACCUAAUCAGAAAGCCACGGCUAACUACGUG